rnacentral:rRNA from 1 species
GACGAACGCUGGCGGCGUGCUUAACACAUGCAAGUCGAACGGAAAGGCCCUGCUUUUGUGGGGUGCUCGAGUGGCGAACGGGUGAGUAACACGUGAGUAACCUGCCCUUGACUUUGGGAUAACUUCAGGAAACUGGGGCUAAUACCGGAUAGGAGCUCCUGCUGCAUGGUGGGGGUUGGAAAGUUUCGGCGGUUGGGGAUGGACUCGCGGCUUAUCAGCUUGUUGGUGGGGUAGUGGCUUACCAAGGCUUUGACGGGUAGCCGGCCUGAGAGGGUGACCGGCAACAUUGGGACUGAGAUACGGCCCAGACUCCUACGGGGGGCAGAAGGGGGGAAUAGUGCAGAAGGGGCGGAGGCGGGAUGCAGCAACGCCGCGUGCGGGAGGACGGCUUUCGGGUUGUAACCCGCUUCCGCCUGUGAAGAAGGGUGAGGGACGGGAAGGAGUAAAGAAGCACCGGCUAACCACGUG